GUACACUCCUACGGGAGGCAGCAGUGGGGAAUUUUGGACAAUGGGCGCAAGCCUGAUCCAGCCAUGCCGCGUGCGGGAAGAAGGCCUUCGGGUUGUAAACCGCUUUUGUCAGGGAAGAAAAGGUUCUGGCUAAUACCUGGGACUCAUGACGGUACCUGAAGAAUAAGCACCGGCUAACUACGUGCCAGCAGCCGCGGUAAUACGUAGGGUGCAAGCGUUAAUCGGAAUUACUGGGCGUAAAGCGUGCGCAGGCGGUUAUGCAAGACAGAGGUGAAAUCCCCGGGCUCAACCUGGGAACUGCCUUUGUGACUGCAUGGCUAGAGUACGGUAGAGGGGGAUGGAAUUCCGCGUGUAGCAGUGAAAUGCGUAGAUAUGCGGAGGAACACCGAUGGCGAAGGCAAUCCCCUGGACCUGUACUGACGCUCAUGCACGAAAGCGUGGGGAGCAAACAGGAUUAGAAACCCCGGUAGUCCCAUG
rnacentral:rRNA from 1 species